CAUCUGUGAGAGGUCCCCGGCGUCGGCCAGCUCCAGCACGAUGUUCAGCUCGUUGUCCUCGAUGAAGGAGUCCAGCUUCUGGUGAGCUCAGUGCCUGGAAGGGACACGCUCAGCCCAGGGACUCAGCGCUACAAGCUGUGCACCGGGAAUGAACCGAGUUCAGGGUGUGCUCAGCUGCUGGCAUAGCCAUCACCAUCUCACCCCACGGAGCUCUGCUGACCAGGAUGCAAGAUGACCGCCACCGCCACAGUCAGGCACUGUGGGUAAGGGACACUUCGUCACCCGCUGUCCAGGUGUGCACCUGCCCUCGCUGCCCUUGGCCUCCCUCAUGCCCUUCCCCAGGCCAUGGGGUCCCUUAACUUCCCCCAACGGGAGAGGAUAUGGAGCCGAGGGGCUGGGAGGUCACCGACCCCAUGGCACCCACCCCACACUCCGCUGCCAGUCCCACCGGGCCCAAGGGAGGAGGCCUGAGCUGCCUGGGGUGACAGGUCAGAUCUGAGGGAGGAGAGGGAGGGCAAAGCCUCAACCCUGGUCAGCGGAGAAAACCUGGAGGUGGCCGAGGUCCCAGGGUCACCUUGCUCCGAACUCGCCCUGUGGAGAAAUGCUGUCGAGGCAGGCAGCUGGGGAAACGGGUGGGGUGGGGGGGAUCGCGGACCAUCUGGGCCACCCCCAUCCAGAAAGCGCCGAGAAACCCAGGCUGUCUUUCCCAAGACAGAUCAAAUUAGGCCACAAACACCCCCACCCUGUGCUAAUUUGAGUUUAAAAUGUUUGAACCAAAAUAAGCUUCAGACAUCGACGAAUCCUCUUUUUAUUUUCUUAAACAGGAGCAUAAAAUUACAUGUUAAAAGAAUAAAAAUGCAUUCGCCCAAUUAAUUUUCUGAAAUCUCAUUAAAAAAUU